rnacentral:rRNA from 1 species
GACGGAGGAUGCAAGCGUUAUCCGGAAUGAUUGGGCGUAAAGCGUCCGUAGGUGGCAGUUCAAGUCUGCUGUCAAAGACCGGGUCUCAACCUCGGAAAGGCAGAUGAAACUGAACAGCUAGAGUAUGGUAGGGGCAAAGGGAAUUCCUGGUGUAGCGGUGAAAUACGUAGAGAUCAGGAAGAACAUCGGUGGCGAAGGCGCUUUGCUGGACCAUAACUGACACUGAGGGACGAAAGCUAGGGGAGCGAAUGGGAUUAGAUACCCCAGUAGUCCUAGCCGUAAACGAUGGAUACUAGGUGUUGUCUGUAUCGACCCGGACAGUGCCGUAGCUAACGCGUUAAGUAUCCCGCCUGGGGAGUACGCACGCAAGUGUGAA